rnacentral:rRNA from 1 species
UACAGAGGUCUCAAGCGUUGUUCGGAUUCAUUGGGCGUAAAGGGUGCGUAGGUGGCGUGGCAAGUCUGAUGUGAAAUCCCGGGGCUCAACCUCGGAACUGCAUUGGAUACUGCCAUGCUUGAGCACUGGAGAGGAGACUGGAAUUUACGGUGUAGCAGUGAAAUGCGUAGAUAUCGUAAGGAAGACCAGUGGCGAAGGCGAGUCUCUGGACAGUUGCUGACACUGAGGCACGAAGGCCAGGGGAGCAAACAGG